AGCAGUUGCCAGUGUCAUUUUUGUGACGUUGCAGCUAGUAAUAUGAGCCCAGUUGCAUAGUCACAAAAGUGAUUAUUGGAAACUGU
rnacentral:pre_miRNA from 1 species